AGCGUACGCUGGCGGCAGGCUUAACACAUGCAAGUCGAGCGGGCAUCUUCGGGUGUCAGCGGCGGACGGGUGAGUAACGCGUGGGAACGUGCCUUCUGGUUCGGAAUAACUCAGGGAAACUUGAGCUAAUACCGGAUACGCCCUUUUGGGGAAAGGUUUACUGCCGGAAGAUCGGCCCGCGUCUGAUUAGCUAGUUGGUGGGGUAACGGCAUACCAAGGCGACGAUCAGUAGCUGGUCUGAGAGGAUGAUCAGCCACACUGGGACUGAGACACGGCCCAGACUCCUACGGGAGGCAGCAGUGGGGAAUAUUGGACAAUGGGCGCAAGCCUGAUCCAGCCAUGCCGCGUGAGUGAUGAAGGCCUUAGGGUUGUAAAGCUCUUUUAUCCGGGACGAUAAUGACGGUACCGGAGGAAUAAGCCCCGGCUAGCUUCGUGCCAGCCGCCGCAGUAA
rnacentral:rRNA from 1 species